rnacentral:misc_RNA from 1 species
AAGUCGUAACAAGGUUUCCGUAGGUGAACCUGCGGAAGGAUCAAUAGUGAGAGUGUGGGGGGUUGGGUGUGGGGUAGUUGAGAACCCCUGGUUCUUGAUUAUCUUUAUCCAACCCCUUAUUAACAUUUACGCGUGACUAGUAUGACAGAGUAAAAGGGACACAUAAUAUAUACAACUUUUAACAAGGGAUCUCUUGGCUCUU